AUGACUACCAUCUCACGAGCAAAGGUAAACCAGAAAGUCAUAUCUUCAUCUUCUAUAUGACACCAGGUCCAAUUCCAAAAAUUGUUUUUUCCGUAAUUGAAAAAUACUCGGUGAUAAUCUCAAAGCCACAUAGCUUCUUCUUCCCUUCCUAUCAAAAUCCUUUUUUUGACUGUUAACGAUUGAAGCUUUUAGGUAAGCUUGAACAUGUACUCCAUCGUGUUCAUUUAACUUAAAAGAAAUUCAGAAGCGAUCUGGUUCUUCGUCACUUCUACAUCAUUUCAAAGCUUCAUCUUUCAAACUACCACUUGUGAGUGCACUUUAAUUUAUGGCUCGGUCAUGUUCACUGUCCCACUCCGACAACUCCGUCUGGGACUCCGAUGAUAGUUAAUGUCUGAUUGUGAUAGCAAAGAUUCGUCCACUUACACCAAACGAUUAUUAGACAUGAAUGAGAUGGUCGAAGAUGAGUUACAAUCUUCCCAGAGUUCUGUUGAAAUAAUUACUCAUAUCCUUUUUAUAACGGCGAUAAUGGAUAACAAGCGACUUCAUGGUGGAUCUACUUUUGGUAGACGCACAAUUGUUCGCGAUAGGAGUCGACGUCACAAUCUUAUUAUUCCCGGUUACUUUAGGGGUGAAGUGAGGAAUAUGAAUAGGUAGCGACUGUAGAUUUUGUAUCAAUUUUUUUACAUUGGACUAAGUUAAAGCUUUUGUUUUAUGGAGGGAAAAGUUCCCUCCAGUUAUCUAACCCAGAACUGUAUUUGAGGAAAAUUUUCUUCCAAUUUAUUUUCCGCUUUUUGAGA